UACGUAGGGGGCAAGCGUUGUCCGGAAUCAUUGGGCGUAAAGCGCGUGUAGGCGGCUGGCUAAGUCCGCUCUGAAAGCCCGGGGCUCAACCCCGGGAGGCGGGUGGAUACUGGUCAGCUCGAAUCCGGAAGAGGAGUGUGGAAUUCCUGGUGUAGCGGUGAAAUGCGCAGAUAUCAGGAGGAACACCAAUGGCGAAGGCAGCACUCUGGGACGGUACUGACGCUGAGACGCGAAAGCGUGGGGAGCAAACAGG
rnacentral:rRNA from 1 species